AUUGAACGCUGGCGGCAUGCUUUACACAUGCAAGUCGAACGGCAGCGCGGGCUUCGGCCUGGCGGCGAGUGGCGAACGGGUGAGUAAUACACCGGAACGUGCCCAGCAGGGGGGGAUAGCUCGGCGAAAGCCGGAUGAAUACCGCAUACGACCUGAGGGUGAAAGCGGGGGAUCUUCGGACCUCGCGCUAUUGGAGCGGCCGAUGGCAGAUUAGCUAGUUGGUGGGGUAAAGGCCUACCAAGGCGACGAUCUGUAGCUGGUCUGAGAGGACGACCAGCCACACUGGGACUGAGACACGGCCCAGACUCCUACGGGAGGCAGCAGUGGGGAAUUUUGGACAAUGGGCGAAAGCCUGAUCCAGCAAUGCCGCGUGUGUGAUGAAGGCCUUCGGGUUGUAAAGCACUUUUGGCGGGAACGAAAAGGACUGUGCCAAUACCACGGUUCGAUGACGGUACCCGCAGAAUAAGCACCGGCUAACUACGUG
rnacentral:rRNA from 1 species